UGGGGAAUUUUGGACAAUGGGGGCAACCCUGAUCCAGCGACGCCGCGUGAAGGAUGAAGGUCUUCGGAUUGUAAACUUCUUUUGAUGGGGAUGAAUGCCCUGGUGAAUAGCCAGGGGUGACAGUACCCGUUGAAUAAGCCACGGCUAACUACGUGCCAGCAGCCGCGGUAAUACGUAGGUGGCAAGCGAUACUCGGAAUCACUAGGCGUAAAGCGCAGGUAGGCGGUUUGGUAAGUCUCUUGUGAAAGCUCCCGGCUUAACUGGGAGAGGUCAAGGGAAACUACCAGGCUAGAGUGUGGUAGGGGAUACUGGAAUUCCUGGUGUAGCGGUGAAAUGCGUAGAUAUCAGGAGGAAUACCUAUGGCGAAAGCAGGUAUCUGGGCCAUCACUGACGCUGAGCUGCGAAAGCUAGGGGAGCAAACAGGAUUAGAUACCCUGGUAGUCCUAGCCCUAAACGAUGCUCAUUAGAUGUGGGAGGUAUCGACCCCUUCCGCGUCGCAGCUAACGCAUUAAAUGAGCCGCCUGGGGAGUACGGCCGCAAGG
rnacentral:rRNA from 1 species